CGGCGAACGGGUGAGUAACAAGUGAGCAACCUGCCCCUGACUCUGGGAUAAGCGGUGGAAACGCCGUCUAAUACCGGAUACGACCUUCCGCCUCAUGGUGGAGGGUGGAAAGUUUUUUCGGUCAGGGAUGGGCUCGCGGCCUAUCAGCUUGUUGGUGGGGUAACGGCCUACCAAGGCGAUUACGGGUAGCCGGCCUGAGAGGGCGACCGGCCACACUGGGACUGAGACACGGCCCAGACUCCUGCGGGAGGCAGCAGUGGGGAAUAUUGCGCAAUGGGCGAAAGCCUGACGCAGCGACGCCGCGUGGGGGAUGACGGCCUUCGGGUUGUAAACCUCUUUUACCACCAACGCAGGCUCCGGGUUCUCUCGGGGUUGACGGUAGGUGGGGAAUAAGGACCGGCUAACUACGUGCCAGCAGCCGCGGUAAUACGUAGGGUCCGAGCGUUGUCCGGAAUUAUUGGGCGUAAAGAGCUCGUAGGCGGCGUGUCGCGUCUGCUGUGAAAGACCGGGGCUUAACUCCGGUUC
rnacentral:rRNA from 1 species